UAAGUGGAGAGUUUGAUCCUGGCUCAGAAUGAACGCUGGCGGCGUGCCUAACACAUGCAAGUCGAACGAGAAACUCCGGGCUUGCUCGGGGGAGUAAAGUGGCGAACGGGUGAGUAACGCGUGGGUAACCUGCCCCUGAAUUCGGGAUAACUUCGCGAAAGCGUUGCUAAUACCGGAUGUUGUCCCGAGGACUUUGGUUCUUGGGAUUAAAGGUGACCUCUCCAUGGAAGUUGCCGUUCAGGGAGGGGCUCGCGUCCCAUUAGCUUGUUGGUAGGGUAAAAGCCUACCAAGGCGAUGAUGGGUAGCUGGUCUGAGAGGAUGAUCAGCCACACUGGCACUGAAACACGGGCCAGACUCCUACGGGAGGCAGCAGUGAGGAAUUUUGCGCAAUGGGGGAAACCCUGACGCAGCAACGCCGCGUGAGUGAAGAAGGC
rnacentral:ncRNA from 1 species